AUGACGGACGGGGAGACGAUCCCGGAGUUCACCAAGAAGCUCAUCCCGCUGGUGAGCGAGAUCCGCUCCCUCGGUGUUACACUGGAAGACGAGGCCAUGAUGUAGCGGCUCUUCAACGCUGUUCCAGAUCGUUUCGUGGACAUCGUCAACACCAUUGAGCAAUGGGUUGAUGUCUCGGCGAUGACAGUACAGGAGGCGAUUGGGCGCCUCACCGCGUUCGAGCAGAACCAGCUCGGUCGUCGUCAAAAUGGUGGCGAUGAAGGAGAGAAGCUGAUGCUGGUUUCAUGCGCCCAGCUAGAGGAGUUGAUCCUUAAAAAGAAGAAGAAGGGGAAGGGCUCUAGCAGCGGCAACAAGAACAGCGGGGGCUGUGGUCGUGAUGAUGGCAAGAAAAAGGAACGCCUUAAGUUCGACAAGUCGAAGCUUACCUGCUUCGAGUGCGGCGAGAAGGGUAACUUCAAGUCCGAGUGCGAGGAGUAG
rnacentral:rRNA from 1 species